rnacentral:rRNA from 1 species
GACGAACGCUGGCGGCGUGCCUAAUACAUGCAAGUCGAGCGGACGAAUCGAAAGCUUGCUUUUGAUUCGUUAGCGGCGGACGGGUGAGUAACACGUGGGCAACCUGCCCUGUAGACGGGGAUAACACCGAGAAAUCGGUGCUAAUACCGGAUAACACGAAAUGUCGCAUGACGUUUCGUUGAAAGACGGCGCAAGCUGUCGCUACAGGAUGGGCCCGCGGCGCAUUAGCUAGUUGGUGAGGUAACGGCUCACCAAGGCGACGAUGCGUAGCCGACCUGAGAGGGUGAUCGGCCACACUGGGACUGAGACACGGCCCAGACUCCUACGGGAGGCAGCAGUAAGGAAUCUUCCGCAAAGGACGAAAGUCUGACGGAGCAACGCCGCGUGAGCGAAGAAGGCCUUCGGGUCGUAAAGCUCUGUUGUUAGGGAAGAACAAGUAACGCAGUAACUGGCGUUACCGUGACGGUACCUAACGAGAAAGCCACGGCUAACUACGUG